rnacentral:lncRNA from 1 species
CCCCCCUCUCCACAUUUCAUUGCCGUUUCUCCGCCCCGUUCUCAUUCCAUCCCCAAAAUCCCUUUUGCUCACGUGGAAACCGUUCACUUCUUACCUUCCUCACUUCCCACUCUCAUUCUCAGCACUUUCCAACCCCUUCCAACUAUUUUCAUCCAAUUCUUUCCUCUUCAGGAUUCCCCAAAGCGAUUCCAGGUCCUUUCCAGCCCCUCUUCCCAACGCCCAACCGCUUCCAUUCCACCUUUCCACACCGUUUUGGAGCCCUUUUCUCCCCCUUUCCCACCACCUGAACCCACCCCAGGUCCUUCAGACCCCCCCCCAGCCCUCCCAGCCCCCCUCCCCACUCACAGGAGCCGCUGUUGCUGUACUGGCUCUGCUGGCUGUAGCUCUGCGGCGCGCUGUAUGAGGACUGCUGGCUGUAGGAGGGCUGCUGGCUGCUGUAUGAGGACUGCUGGCUGUAGCCGGAGCUGGGCGGCUGCCCGUAGCUGGAGCUCUGGGAGCUGCCCCCAUAGCUGUGGGAAACGACACGUCCUGAGCUCAAAGGACCCCAAAGCACUCAGCAAAACCACCGGGGCCUCGUUAAAAACACGUGUUAAUGAGCUGACGGAUCAGGUUGGAAGGGGAGAGCGAACCCCGCAGCAGCUCUGUGGGUUUUAUACUGUAAGUGAAGCAAAGCGUGCGGUUAUAGGGGAGGACGUUCAGCUGAGCAUAACCUUGGGGCUGGGAACGUCCAGUGGGGCUGGGAACGUCCAGUGGGGCUGGGAACGUCCAGUGGGGCUGGGAACGUCCAGUGGGGCUGGGAACACCCAACAGAGCCAAAUUUGGGGUUGGAAGCGUCCAAUGGGGUUGGAAACGUCCAACAGAGCACAAUUUGGGGUUAAAACAUCCAACAGAGCCAAAUUUGGGGUUACAACACCCAACAGAGCCCAAUUUGGGGUUGGAAUCAUCCAAUGGGGUUGGAAACACCCAACAGAGCACAAUUUGGGGUUACAACACCCAACAGAGCCGAAUUUGGGGUUGGAAACAUCCAAUGGGGCUGGAAACAUCCAAUGGGGUUGGAAAAACCCAACAGAGGCAAAUUUGGGGUUAAAAAAUCCAAUAGAGCCAAAUUUGGGGCUGCAAACAUCCAACAGAGCCAAAUUUAGGGUCACAACACCCAACAGAGCCCAAUUUGGGGCUGCAAACAUCCAAUGGGGUUGGAAACACCCAAAAGAGCACAAUUUGGGGGUUAAAGCAUCCAACAGAGCCAAAUUUGGGGUUACAACACCCAACAGAGCCCAAUUUGGGGUUGGAAUCAUCCAAUGGGGUUGGAAACACCCAACAGAGCACAAUUUGGGGCUGGAAACGUCCAAUGGGGUUGGAAACGUCCAACAGAGCACAAUUUGGGAUUAAAACAUCCAACAGAGCCAAAUUUGGGGUUACAACACCCAACAGAGCCCAAUUUGGGGUUGGAAUCAUCCAAUGGGGUUGAAA